GAUGAACGCUGGCGGCGUGCCUAAUACAUGCAAGUCGAGCGAACAGACGAGGAGCUUGCUCCUCUGACGUUAGCGGCGGACGGGUGAGUAACACGUGGAUAACCUACCUAUAAGACUGGGAUAACUUCGGGAAACCGGAGCUAAUACCGGAUAAUAUAUUGAACCGCAUGGUUCAAUAGUGAAAGACGGUUUUGCUGUCACUUAUAGAUGGAUCCGCGCCGCAUUAGCUAGUUGGUAAGGUAACGGCGUACCAAGGCAACGAUGCGUAGCCGACCUGAGAGGGUGAGCGGAAACAUGGGGAAUGAGAUACGGACCAGGCUGCGAUGGGAGGCAGCAGGGGGGAUUAUUGCACAAUGGGCGGAAGACUGAUGAAGCAACGCCGAGGGCGGGAUGACGGCCUGCGGGGUGUAAACCGCUGUCGCCGGUGACGAAGCGGGAGUGACGGUAAUGGGUAAAGAAGCACCGGCUAACUACGU
rnacentral:rRNA from 1 species